rnacentral:rRNA from 1 species
GACGAACGCUGGCGGCAUGCCUAACACAUGCAAGUCGAACGGACAGAACAGGGUAUCUUGUCGUGGUGGAACUGGAAAGUUGGGAGCGGCUGGGGGAGUAACGCGUGGACAACCUACCUUGUAAAGAGGAAUAACCUCGAGAAAUCGAAGCGAAUACCCCACAAUAACCUUGCUUCGCGUGAGGUAAGGCGGAAGGGCGGCCUCACCCCUGUCAAUAGCAGGUGGGUCCGCGUCUGAUUUGCUAGGUGGUGGGGUAAAGGCUCACCAAGGCGACGAUCAGGAGACGGCCUGAGAGAGUGAUCGCCGGCAUUGGGAGUUAGACAGCGCCCAAACUCCUACGGGAGGCAGCAGUGGGGAAUCUGACGCAAUGGGGGAGAGCCUGACAGAGCAAUGCCGCGUGAGUGAAGACGGCCCUCGGGGUGUAAAACCCUGUCUCUAGCGAAGAGCGAGUGUUGCAGUAACUGAAAAGAGUAGGACGGUAGAUGAGGAGGAAGCCCCGGCUAACUACGUG